rnacentral:pre_miRNA from 1 species
AAAAAAACAAACCCUAGAUUUCCGUGUCCAAUGUUUGAUCGUCCAUUUUAUUUGAAAAAAAUAUGAAAAAAAUAAAAAGACAAGUCACGUAUAAAAUAUUAAUCAUGUUUUAUCAUCUAACAACAAUGAAAAUACUAAUUAUAAAAAAAUUUCAUAUAAGACAGACGGUCAAACGUUGGACACAAAAAUACAGGAUGUCUUUUUUU